rnacentral:rRNA from 1 species
GGAGGGUGCAAGCGUUAAUCGGAAUUACUGGGCGUAAAGCGCGCGUAGGUGGCUUGAUAAGCCGGUUGUGAAAGCCCCGGGCUCAACCUGGGAACGGGCAUGGAACUGUAGCUAGAGUGCAGGAGGAAGGUAGAAUUCCCGGUGUAGCGGUGAAAUGCGUAGAGAUCGGGAGGAAUACCAGUGGCGAAGGCGGCCUUCUGGACUGACACUGACACUGAGGUGCGAAAGCGUGGGUAGCAAACAGGAUUAGAUACCCUGGUAGUCCACGCCGUAAACGAUGUCGACCAGCCGUUGGGUGCCUAGCGCACUUUGUGGCGAAGUUAACGCGAUAAGUCGACCGCCUGGGGAGUACGGCCGCAAGGUUAAAACUCAAAUGAAUUGACGGGGGCCCGCACAAGCGGUGGAGCAUGUGGUAUAAUUCGAUGCAACGCGAAGAACCUUACCUACUCUUGACAUCCUGCGAAUUCGGUAGAGAUACCUUAGUGCCUUCGGGAACGCAGAGACAGGUGCUGCAUGGCUGUCGUCAGCUCGUGUUGUGAAAUGUUGGGUUAAGUCCCGUAACGAGCGCAACCCUUGUCCUUAUUUGCCAGCGCGUAAUGGCGGGAACUCUAAGGAGACUGCCGGUGACAAACCGGAGGAAGGUGGGGACGACGUCAAGUCAUCAUGGCCCUUACGAGUAGGGCUACACACGUGCUACAAUGGUCGGUACAAAGGGUUGCGAGCUCGCGAGAGUCAGCCAAUCCCGAAAAGCCGAUCUCAGUCCGGAUCGGAGUCUGCAACUCGACUCCGUGAAGUCGGAAUCG